rnacentral:rRNA from 1 species
AGAGUUUGAUCCUGGCUCAGGAUGAACGCUGGCGGCGUGCCUAAUACAUGCAAGUCGAACGCUUCACUUCGGUGAAGAGUGGCGAACGGGUGAGUAAUACAUAAGUAACCUGGCAUCUACAGGGGGAUAACUGAUGGAAACGUCAGCUAAGACCGCAUAGGUGUAGAGAUCGCAUGAACUCUAUAUGAAAAGUGCUACGGGACUGGUAGAUGAUGGACUUAUGGCGCAUUAGCUUGUUGGUAGGGUAACGGCCUACCAAGGCGACGAUGCGUAGCCGACCUGAGAGGGUGACCGGCCACACUGGGACUGAGACACGGCCCAGACUCCUACGGGAGGCAGCAGUAGGGAAUUUUCGGCAAUGGGGGAAACCCUGACCGAGCAACGCCGCGUGAAGGAAGAAGUAAUUCGUUAUGUAAACUUCUGUCAUAGAGGAAGAACGGUGGAUAUAGGGAAUGAUAUCCAAGUGACGGUACUCUAUAAGAAAGCCACGGCUAACUACGUGCCAGCAGCCGCGGUAAUACGUAGGUGGCGAGCGUUAUCCGGAAUUAUUGGGCGUAAAGAGGGAGCAGGCGGCACUAAGGGUCUGUGGUGAAAGAUCGAAGCUUAACUUCGGUAAGCCAUGGAAACCGUAGAGCUAGAGUGUGUGAGAGGAUCGUGGAAUUCCAUGUGUAGCGGUGAAAUGCGUAGAUAUAUGGAGGAACACCAGUGGCGAAGGCGACGAUCUGGCGCAUAACUGACGCUCAGUCCCGAAAGCGUGGGGAGCAAAUAGGAUUAGAUACCCUAGUAGUCCACGCCGUAAAC